AUACGGAGGAUCCGAGCGUUAUCCGGAUUUAUUGGGUUUAAAGGGUGCGCAGGCGGCCAUUUAAGUCAGCGGUUAAAUCGUGGGGCUCAACCCCAUUCUGCCGUUGAUACUGGGUGGCUUGAUUGCGGUCGAGGUUGGCGGAAUUCGUUGUGUAGCUGUGAAAUGCAUAGAUAUGACGAAGAACACCGAUUGCGUAGGCAGCUGACCAGACCGCAAAUGACGCUCAUGCACGAAAGUGCGGGGAUCGAACAGGAUUAGAUACCCUGGUAGUCCGCACAGUAAACGAUGAAUACUUGUUUUCGGCGAUAUAAUGUCGGAGGCAAAGCGAAAGCGAUAAGUAUUCCACCUGGGGAGUACGCCGGCAACGGUGAAACUCAAAGGAAUUGACGGGG
rnacentral:rRNA from 1 species